GAGGGCGUAGCUCAGUUGGAUAGAGCAUUAGAUUUCUAAUCUAACGGUCGUUGGUUCGAUCCCAAUCGCCCUCG
rnacentral:tRNA from 1 species